rnacentral:lncRNA from 1 species
CCAUUCAUCCGUUGAUGUCUGGUCGAGUCUUUCCUAUUCGUCUGUUGAUGUCUGGUCGUGGUUUCUCUUCUCAUUCAUCGUCUUUCAAUGUCCGGUCGUGGCUUCUUUCUCCCUUUCAUCCGUUGAUGUCUGGUCGAGUUCUUCCUAUUCGUCCUUUGGCGUCUAGUCGUGGUUUCUUUAUUCCUAUUCGUCCGUUGACGUCUAG